rnacentral:misc_RNA from 1 species
ACCACUUGAGUUAACUGAUUU